CCAAGGUACAGCGAUGUACCACAAACAUAGGACUAGCGUGCUAGUCCACACACUGAGAACACCAAGACCACAUGAACAUGAUGUUGGUUCAGACUAAACGCUAUCUAGAGGUCUAACACAUGCGAGUCAGCCCCAGCGACCAAACAGGAGACUGCGAGGACGCUGAGGCAGGCGAAGAGGUGAGUAGCUAAGCAGAGCCUAACACAGAGGUAGCUUAAGGAUGUAGGUAGUAGGGCACCGCUCUAGCCGAGGAACCAAAGCCGAUGAUGAAGAUCACAACGGCCACAUUGACCAUGAGUCAACUACCCCAGGUAGCAGCAGUGAAGAAUCUUUGACAAUGGCCUCACGGCUGAUCAAGCCAUCUAGAAGAGCCAACCAGCUCACAGGCAAGGGAAGCAUGAUCCCUUGCCCAGUCAGUCCAGACCAAGACAUGUGCCAGCAGUAGCGGUUAAACAUGAUGGGCCAGCGUUAGUCCCCUAGGCCUAAAGGAUACGUAGAACAGACCGGAGAAGACCUUAGACAGGUCCCUCCACCUAGACUGCACAGGGGUGCCAAGAAGGACGGUGAGAGAGAUGAAAUGCUAUGACCACCGUCGUACUGCAACGAAGGCACUCCUACGACAGUGACGUUGAGGUAUGAAGCCCGCGAGCACGAAGUGGAUUCGAUACCCACCUAGUCACGGGUGCUAACUUUGAUCACCACACCGCUCUAAGCAGCUACGGUAGCUAACGCUAAGAGUGAUCCGCCUGAAUAGUACGCCCGCAAGGGUGAAACAUAAGACAUUAGCCGGUUGUAGACACCAACAGUGGAACAUGUCGUUUAAUAGGAUGAUCCACCUUGAACCUUACCUCCUCUUGAAUCUCACUCCCUUGUCGACCACAGCGCUGGCUGAGUCCCCAGACCCAGGGCACCCCCUGGUGCGGGGUCAAGCCACCGCCGAAGCGACGCAGGGAAAGAGACAGGCAUUACAUCGUUGUCGUCAGUUCAUACUGAGAAGCAUGGUGUUCAGUCACCGAAUGAACGAAGUCCUCCUAUGCCUACAACCAGAGCGGUAGAGUGAGAUUCCAUGGCGUCCUAGUCGAGAGACGAAGACACCUAAGACUCACCUCUACCCACCUGAGUAGGCCCUAUAGACGAGAGCGCCAGCUCUAGAAACUGAGGGUGAAGACUAACCUAGAUGAUCCUAAUGAGGAUGGGCCACAGAUGUGUUACAAGAGCAGUACAAUGACCCCCAACCCCUGCUACUAAGGUAAUGAAAGUACCCUUCGAUGAAUUGAGCCCUGCAACCCGAGCUCAUGAAAGAGGAAUUGUGAGUAAUCGCGGACCAGAGAGACGCGGUGAACCUACUCUCUACUUCGGACUAAUCACUCAUCAACAGCAAAGCCACCCUACUACUAGUCACAACAGUACGCCGCCCAACACCUAGUACCCACUAGGACGCUUGGGUGUACAACCCUGACUAGCACACCGGGAUCAUGUGCUGUAAGUUGAAAUACAGUUCGGGUAGGGGAACCUGCCCGGGAUGGAUACACAGAUCACAGAACACACCACUACAACGGUGAGAUACAUAGACUCACCGUCC
rnacentral:rRNA from 1 species